GCCUGAUCCAGCAAUGCCGCGUGAGUGAAGAAGGCCUUCGGGUUGUAAAGCUCUUUCAGUUGAGAAGAAAAAGUACGUGACUAAUAAUCAUGAUUCAUGACGGUAUCAACAGAAGAAGCACCGGCUAACUACGUGCCAGCAGCCGCGGUAAUACGUAGGGUGCAAGCGUUAAUCGGAAUUACUGGGCGUAAAGGGUGCGCAGGCGGUUCUGUAAGUCAGAUGUGAAAUCCCCGGGCUUAACCUGGGAACUGCGUUUGAAACUGCAGAGCUAGAGUGCAGCAGAGGGAGGUGGAAUUCCAUGUGUAGCAGUGAAAUGCGUAGAGAUAUGGAAGAACAUCGAUGGCGAAGGCAACCUCCUGGGCUAGCACUGACGCUCAUGCACGAAAGCGUGGGGAGCAAACAGGAUUAGAUACCCUGGUAGUCCACGCCUAAACUAUGUCAACUAGUUGUCGGGUCUUAUUAGACUUGGUAACGUAGCUAACGCGUGAAGUUGACCGCCUGGGAGUACGG
rnacentral:rRNA from 1 species